AACGACUCUCGGCAACGGAUAUCUCGGCUCUCGCAUCGAUGAAGAACGUAGCGAAAUGCGAUACUUGGUGUGAAUUGCAGAAUCCCGUGAACCAUCGAGUUUUUGAACGCAAGUUGCGCCCGAAGCCUUUUGGCUAAGGGCACGUCUGCCUGGGCG
rnacentral:rRNA from 1 species